GUGGGUGAUUAACAGUGUGCACCACAUUUUUUAUGUUAUUUUGAAUAGACUGACAAAAUAUUACAGUUAUUUCUUAUAAUUUAAUUCUAAAUUCCAUUUUUAAACCGGAGUAAAUCAUGAAUAAAUGUUACGGUCACAUGACAAAAUUAUGUCUAUGGGCUGAUAAACAAAACGACCUCAGCCAAUCAGAAGACAUGUUACAUCCAAAAUUAAAUUAUUAUGAAUUAUUCAGAAUAAAGAAAACAUAAAUCAAACAACUGUUUUCAUGGUUAUAGUUUAAUUGUUUUCUCAGUUAUGAAUUGAACAGUAUAAACAUAUAUAACAUAAAGGAAAUAUAGCAUCGCUGCGAUGCAACAAAGGACAAUGAAAAAAUACAGUUUGUUUUUUUACGCCAAAUGUGAUGCUAUCCAAAAUUUCUGGGGGAACACUGGAUUUACUUAGGUCUUGUUUUUCCAUUUUUUAUUGAAAUAUUUUUCUGUAGAGAUCUGCCACAUGAUGUGUGUGUUUAUCUUUAUUUUAUGAUAUUUAUAUCUGUGAUAUUGCACAUGAUUUCAUACAUAUAGUUUUUUUGAGGUAAUGUUUUAAAAUUUUAUAUAAUCUGGCCCCAAAUUGUACUUUCUCUUUUUGUUUAAAUAUGAUCUAUGAUGAUGAUUUUUUUGGUAUUCAGGUCAGGGGGUAAGCGGGUAAAUUUCUGAAUUACAUUGGUAAACUUGUGUUAAGUAAUAAAUCUAAUCAUAAUAAUAUAACUGUCCUUUGUUUAAGUUCUGAUGCCUAAUAUGCAAUUAAUGAAUAUACUGUACAAGAUUUAUAACUAGAAUUCUGUAUAAUAUAUGAUUGUGAUAGCUUUAAGUGACAUUACGUAGAUUUUAUUUAUAUAUCUAGUCACUCUUCCUCAGGUUAUAUGUAUUUCUCUGUUCUUGUAGAUCUGUUGUCUAUUUACAGUGACUUUUUACUAUGUUUUGUUAUAAGAUCUGAUACAUUUAUAGAAUUCCUCAGUUUCUAAUGACAUAUUUACUCAUUCUUGUCAUGUUUUGUAAAUUUGUUUUGUUCUUAAAAUUUGUCAAGUGUUGAUAUAUUUGUUCAAAAUACACAGAUAAUGAUCAGUUUAUCAGUUUUCAGAAAAUUUGUGAUUAUCAGAUAUCACCCCCAACAUAUUAUUACAUGUAACAAUGAUUUUUUCAUACUUCAAGUUAAUGUGUUUCUGGUUUCAGAAAGGGUUGUAAAUAUCCUCUAGUAGUAUAAAAUUUAUAGAACUAAUUAAUUACAUAUAUAUGCUAUUAAAAGUUAAGAAUUCUUUUCCCAAAAAAGCUAUUUUGAUUGCUUUGCUUGCAUCAUAUUUCAAAAUAUUUUUCAGUGAGAUAAAACAUUGAAUAACAAGUGCCAUGGGGUUUUGUAAUUUUAGAACUCUGUCAAUAAUAUCUUCUUAUAUGAAUCAGUCAUUCAAACAUCAAUUAGUAUGUUCAUAAUUACUUUUUUUAUAAAAUAAAUUGCACAUAUA
rnacentral:lncRNA from 1 species